rnacentral:misc_RNA from 1 species
AAGUCGUAACAAGGUUUCCGUAGGUGAACCUGCGGAAGGAUCAUUAUCGAGUUUUGACUGGGUUGUAGCUGGCCUCCCGAGGCAUGUGCACGCCCUGCUCAUCCACUCUACACCUGUGCACUUACUGUGGGCUUCAGACGUCGUGAAGCGGGCUCUUUACGGAGCUUGUGGAGCGUGUCUGUGCCUGCGUUUACCACAAACUCUAUAAAGUAUUAGAAUGUGUAUUGCGAUGUAACGCAUCUAUGUACAACUUUCAGCAACGGAUCUCUUGGCUCUC